UAAAGUGGUACGCGAGCUGGGUUUAGAACGUCGUGAGACAGUUCGGUCCCUAUCUGCCGUGGACGUUUGAGAUUUGAGAGGGGCUGCUCCUAGUACGAGAGGACCGGAGUGGACGAACCUCUGGUGUUCCGGUUGUCACGCCAGUGGCAUUGCCGGGUAGCUAUGUUCGGAAGAGAUAACCGCUGAAAGCAUCUAAGCGGGAAACUUGCCUCAAGAUGAGAUCUCACUGGGAUCUUGAAUCCCCUAAAGGGCCGUCGAAGACUACGACGUUGAUAGGUUGGGUGUGUAAGCGCUGUGAGGCGUUGAGCUAACCAAUACUAAUUGCCCGUGAGGCUUGACCAUAUAACACCCAAGCAAUU
rnacentral:rRNA from 1 species